rnacentral:lncRNA from 1 species
GAUGUCAUUUCAGACUUUGCCGCGCUCGCUGAUGUUUAGCGCAUGUGACUCGCUCGCUGAUCUGCGGUCAGUUGUUUGUUUUGCUUUGCCAUGGUAAAGAACUGAAUGUACGGAGAGAAAACUGGUCCACGGGGCUCUUCUUCAAGCGAACAGAGCAUACGUCUCAAUUGAAAAUGUUCUUCUAUCAGAUUGAGUUUCAGUGAGGGACACACUGGUCUGUCUCAACGGAGCCUAGAUAAGAUGAAGGGGUGAAGGGAUGACAGCUGAGGCUCUGCCACAAUUACAGGACGUCUCAAGGCUCUUCCCUCUGGCAGCUCCAUAUGGCUGGCAAACUGAAACUGUGCUUUACUGGCAGCAGCGGAGGGCUGCAAACACCCUGCUGUCAAGAAAACAUGCUCUUUUAUUGACACACAGGCCCAGCUCCAAAAUAAAGUUACUGAGGUUGAUAUAUACUGAACAUUAUUUAAUAAGUUACUUAAUUUAUGUUCGUUUCAUUUUAGUAUAUAUAUUUUUGGAGACACAUUAUUUUAAGCUUAUUAACUAGCUUAUUAAGGUAGUUGAAUUUAGGUAUCGAGUAGAAUUAUGAAUGUAGUAUAAAAUCAUAGAAAAUAUGUACUUUAUACGUGCUAAUAAAAAAGCCAAUAUUUUAAUAACAUGCUAAGCAACUAGUCAACAGUGAGGAUACUGAUUGAGGAUUUUUGUUUGUCCAAUUUUGAUGCAUUUCUUGAUUCCUUCACAUUUUAUUUAAUUUUGUAUGGUCAUUAUUUUAUAUUUAUUAUUUUAUUUGAGCCUACUUUUAUGUAUUUGCUUUGUACUUCUACAGUUUUGUUGAUUUAUUAAAAUAAAUUGUUAA